rnacentral:rRNA from 1 species
UACGUAGGUGACAAGCGUUGUCCGGAUUUACUGGGCGUAAAGAGCGCGCAGGCGGUCGAUCAAGUCGAGUGUGAAAGCCCCCGGCUCAACUGGGGAGGGUCAUUCGAUACUGAUCGACUCGAAGGCAGGAGAGGGUAGUGGAAUUCCCGGUGUAGUGGUGAAAUGCGUAGAUAUCGGGAGGAACACCUGAGGCGAAGGCGGGCUACUGGGCCGAUACUGACGCUGAUGCGCGAAAGCCAGGGGAGCGAACGGG